GCACAUAAAAUAGCCCUACAUCGAUAAAACUAUUGCCACCUCACCAGAAGGGGAUUUUCUACAGAGUUUCCGAAAAUCAUAAAAUAACAACACCAUUGGAUUCAUUAGGAUUUUCUACCCCAAAUCCAUAUAUCAUACAUCCACCUUUGCAUACAGAAAAAACUCCACAAACAGUAAAGGGAAAUAUGCCAAUUUAGCACAAGGACAGUUCACAAACAAAA
rnacentral:lncRNA from 1 species